rnacentral:tRNA from 1 species
ACCGGUUUGGCUCAGUGGGUAGAGCGUUGGCCUGCAGAGUCAAGGGUUCCAGGUUCGAUUCCGGCCAUGGGCA